rnacentral:lncRNA from 1 species
UGGGGACGGGGGAGGGGCCUCCGGGUGUGGCGGCGAUCGGCGGUCAGCCUCCUUCUCCAGCUCUUGGUUUUUCUUCCUCGACGGGGGUUGAUGGCUAAGGUUUGGUUCCUAUGUGACGUAAAGUAUUUAUACUAGUCUCACGUCGAUCUGUACCAUUCAUCUCGAUUGAUCUCGUCUGUUCGAUCGUGCUUAAGAAGAUAACCAAUCUAAGUCGUCCACGCGUCCAUGAUCGAUCAU